CCACCAUCGUCUUUAUGUCGGACGCCGCGACCGACGCCCUCUUCUAUUUUUCAGCGGAUUUCAAUAUCAAUCUUCAAACUUUGAGCUCCAAUCAACUUUAUCACAUUGAUUAAGGCUGACUUUAUUAAGAGGAGGCACAAAAUAACCAUUUUCAGUUGAGCAAUUGCAGCCCACGAUUUUAAACUCUUGAUUUGCAACACCUUCAUAAAUCGGCAUUUCCAACUCCUCACGUUUCACCACCACCUACCACCUUUCCUACUCUAGCAGUAAUGGCGGCUUACGGUGCUGCGAUUUCUCUCAAGGAUACCAUUCAAACUAUUCUUCAUUCCUCUCGCAUUUCACUAGUUCCUCCAUCUCCACAAAUCUUACAGCCCGCCUACGAUGCCAUGGUUCGCUUGCAGAAAGUUCUGCUAAAAUUGGAGGAGACCGGCUACAGCAAGAUCAGGACGAAGGUGAAUGCUUUGGACGACCGAAUCAAAGAGGCCGUGUGGGAAUUCGAAGAUUUACUCGAAUCUCAUGUGUAUCAACAGAUUCUUCCACAACUCGAAGGUGAGAGAGAUCACUUGUCUUUCUAUGUAGAUCUGCAGAGUCUCCGACAGAGUGUUGAUUGCUUCAUCGAGAGGUUCCCAGCGAUGCAGGCGGAGUACGAUAUUGAACUGCUGAAUAUGCCUGAAGAAGAAGGGGAACCUGUUCCCUCAAGAAUUGAUUUUCAUGGAAUCGACUCAAACAUGGUUGGAUUAUCCAAAGAAUUUGAAGAGUUAAGGGAUUAUCUUCUUCAUGAAAAUAAUGAAGAGAACUACUUUGAAAUUUCAGGGAUGGCAGGAGUUGGAAAGACAGCAUUCGCUAAGAAAUUAUUUGACGAUCCAUCACUUAAGAGUCAUUUCGAGCUUCGAGUAUGGGUUAAAGUGGGCAGAAAAUGUGAAUAUAAUGAAAUAUUGCGAUGCAUUCUAGCUCAAGUGGAUCGCGAACAAAGCCUUACCCAAGGAGACGAAGAAAAUGAUAAGAAAUUAGUUGGACUCUUGGAAGAGAGGUUGAAGGAUAAGAAAUGUUUCAUUGUGUUGGAUGAUGUAUGGAAAUGGGACGCGCGAGUUAUGGAUAACUUGCCACAAGAUAAUGUCCGAAUCUUGUUAACAAGCAGGCAAUAUAUAGAAGAAUGCCAAAAGAGGGUUACACUACACUUGUUGAAUGAUGAAGAAAGUAAGAAAUUACUUGGCGAGAAGGUGUUUGAUGAAGAGGGUUUCCCUCCUCACCUUGAUGAAUUAGGAGAGAAGAUUGCUAAAAAAUGUGAAGGUCUUCCACUUAUGAUAGUCACAGUUGCAAAGCUCCUGUCCAAAGAAGAAACAACCAUAGAAAAUUGGACUGGGGUAGCUGAAAAACAACAUAAUUCAGUAUUCGUGGAUGCAUAUGAUCAAAUAUCAGAGGUACUUUUCCCAAGCUAUGACUACUUACCUCAACAUUUGAAGAUGUUAUUUCUGUAUUUGGGAGCUUACCCUCCAUAUACUGAUAUUCAACUACGCAUCAUUUUGAACCAGUUGAAAAUUGAGGGGUUUCUUGAGCCUUUUGGUAAACAAAUUAUGGAUGAUUUUAUGGACAUAGAAAAUUUUGAUGAUGUUUUGAUCGAUUUCAUGGUAGACCUUGCUACCCUGUACAAUCUUGUUCUAUUCGAUAGCAUAUUAGCUUCUUGGUUUUCAAAGCAAAUUUUUCGUGUGCAUUCUUGCUGGCAGCACUUUUGUAAGAAAGAAGCAACUAGGAUUAUGUUUUUGCAUGUUUUACAAAGCUACGAUGAUGUUGUGAAAGAUCAACGUCGGUUGUGUGCCCAUUCCAUCUCUUUAUUUUCCAUCAAAGAUUUGUGUGAAAAAAUAAAAAAAGAUUGUGCUUCCAAUGUACGUUCUCUCCUUUGUCUUGGUCCUUACCACAAAUAUGCGAUGCCAAUACAUGCAAUGGAUUUCAAGUUGCUCAAGGUACUGGAAGGUGGAAGUGUCCGAUUUUAUCAUUUCCCACUUGAAAUUUUCAAACAAAUUUGUCUAAAGUACCUUUCCCUAACCUACAACAAAGAGAUCCCAGAUUCUAUAUCCAACCUUUUUCACCUUCAAUUCUUGAUUAUCAAUCAACAUAUGAACAUUAAGAAACGUGGAGCUUUGUCAUGUAUGCCGGUGGAAGUAUGGGACAUGCAAGAACUACAACAUAUUGAGGUAUGGGGAAAAGACUUACCAACCCCAGAUUCUUUUGCUGCUGCAUUGGAUAGACUUUACACUCUUAUUGGUGUGAGUGAAAAGAGUUGCACAAGAGAAAUUCUCAAGAGAAUCCCUAAUUUGAAGAAAUUAGGAAUUUGGGUAGAAUUGCAGCCUUAUGAUGAAGAUGAUGAUAGAAACCCAUUGAGUAACAUGGGUUUUAUAUCAGAGGAACUCAAGUAUUUGAAAACACUUGCAUAUACCGUGAUGUAUCCGGAUAUUAUGCGUGAGUUUAUGGUUCCUCUUUCAAUGUUCCCAUCAAGCUUGACAAGGUUGGAGUUGAGUGGCUUAGGGUGGCCAUGGAAGUAUAUGAAUGACAUUGGUUCGUUGCUACCAAAUCUUACUGAUAUCAGUUUAUGUGACUAUGCCUUUCGAAGUCCCGAAUGGAUUAUAAAAGAAGGGAUUUUUUUGAAACUUGAGACAGCUAUAAUUGAGGACACUGAUUUGGUGCGAUGGAGAGCUCAGCAACGAAGUCUCCCAAGGCUCAAACUCCUAAGCAUACGCCAUUGCUACAAAUUACAACAACUCUAUUGGAAGCGUGAUCUCUCAAUGGUCACCACUACAAUUGAGUUAAUUGAGUGCAAUCCCUUAGCUGUCGCUUCUGCCAAGCAAUUAAGACCUGGAUAUUUCUUUAAAAUUCGUUCUCACUCUACUUUUUGAUACAAGAAGUCCUAUCUCAACUCUUUACUUGGUUAACAGGCAUAUUUGGUGAUUUUGGAUAGGCACAAGUGAGAGCGCAUGGCGUAGUGAAGAUUGGUCAUCUAUAGGAUUUUCACUGUGACUGAGUGAAAGUUACUUAUCGAAGAGCGCGCUACCUGCUCACAUGUGCCACGAGCGUGGUUACUGUUCUGCGGUUGGGAGGAAGUAUUUAAUAAGAAAAUAUUAUUAACGAUCAUGUUCUUCAAGUUUUCUAGCUUGAGGAAUGAAGAGCCUAUGACCUCUGCUUCAUUCUACUUAUCAGGAGGUUGAUCAACUUGAAAAAGAAUUUUUUUAGACUGAGGUAAGAUUCUUCUAAGCUCUGCCCUGUUAUACUUAUUUAGGGUUGUUGGUACUGAUCAAAUGUGUGUGCUAAUCAAUUCUGCCUAUUUGUUGGCUUAUUUGUAUUGGAAUUUACUUCCUUAUCUGCAUGUCUGUUAUGCUAUACUUUUUUGCUUUUUCCUCAUAAUAUAAUACUCCCUCCGUCUUCCAUAAUUUGUCACCAUUUGACCCGGCACGGAUUUUAAGAAAUGUAAUAGAAAGUAGGUUGAAAAAGUUGGUGGCAUGUGGGUCCACUACAAAAAAUAGUAAAAGUGAUAUUGAACCACACGUCAUCUUAAAAUUUGAAGAUGUUAUUUCUGUAUUUCGGAGCUUACCCUCUGUAUACUGAUAUUGAACCACACGUCAUCUUAAAUCGGUUGAGUACUGAGGGGUUUGUUGAAUCUUUUGGUAGACAAUUUUUGGAUGAUUUUAUGGAUGGAGACGCUUCUAAUUUUCAUUUGCACGAAUGGGUGGCAGUCCUCGCUACCGGUACAACCUCAUUCUAUUCAAUUUCACUCUCGAUUCUUGGUUUUCAAAGAAAAUGUUUCGUGUGCAUUCUUGCUGGCAGCACUUUUGUAAGAAAGAGGGAACUAGGAUUAAGUUUUUGCAUGUUUUACAAAGCAACGAUGAUGUUGUGAAAGAUCAACGUCGGUUGUGUGCCCAUUGCGUCUCUUUAUUUUCCUUCAAAGAAGUGUAUGAAAAGAUAAAAAAUGAUUGUGCAUCGAAUGUACGUUCUCUCCUUUGUGUUGGUCCUCGCCACAAAUAUGCGAUGCCAAUACAUGCAAUGGAUUUCAAGUUGCUCAAGGUAUUGGAUACUGGAAGUGUCCGAUUUUAUCAUUUUCCAGAAAUUUUCAAGCUAAUUUGUCUAAACUACCUUUCACUAACUUGCAAUAAAGAGAUCCCAGUAUCUAUAUUCGACCUUUUUCACCUUCAGUUCUUGAUUAUCUAUCAAUAUAUGAAUAUUAAAAAACGUGGAGUUUUGUCAUGUAUGCCAGUGGAAGUAUGGGGCAUGCAAGAACUACUACAUAUUGAGAUAUAGGGAAAAGAGCUACCUACCCCUGAUUCUUCUACUGCUGCAUUGGAUAGACUUGACACUCUUAAUGGUGUGAGUGAAAAGAGUUGCACAAGAGAAAAACUCAAGAGAAUCCCAAAUUUAAAGAGAUAAGGAAUUGUGGUAGAAUUGCAGCCUUAUGAUGAAGAUGAUGAUAGAAACCCAUAGAGUAACUUGGGUUAUAUAUCAGAGGAACUCCAAAGUUUGAACACACUUGCAUAUACUGUGAUGUAUCCAGAUAUUAAGCGUGAGUUUAUGGUUCCUCUAUCGAUGUUCCCAUCAAGUUUGACAACUUUGAAUUUGAGUGGCUUAGGGUGUCCAUGGGAGAACAUGAAUGUCAUAGGUUCGAUGCUACCAAAUCUCAUGUUCCUCACGUUAAAAGGCUAUGCCUUUCGAAGCGCCGAGUGGAAUAUAGAAGCACUUGAUACAGUUAUAAUUAAGGACACCGAUUUGGUGCGAUUGAUAGCUCAACAUGGAAGUCUACCAAGGCUCAAACUCCUAAGCAUACGCCAUUGCUACAAAUUACAACAAUUCAAUUGGUCGCGUGAUCCCUCAAUGGUCACCAUUGCAAUUGAGUUAGUUGAGUGCAACCCCUUAGCCGUCGUUUCUGCCAAGCAAUUAAAGCCUGAAUCUGUCUUUAAAAUUCGUUCUCACUCUUCUUUUUUAUACAAGAAGUCCUAGCUCAACUCUCAACUUGGUUAAGAGGUUAGUCUUCAUACUCCCUUUAAUUUGCACAAAACCACAUGAAUUCACUUCUUUCUUAACUAAAAUGCUUGUGCUUGUAAUUGUUUUUAUGUUAUAUUGUAUUGCAGAUAUGUGUUUAGGUUGUUGGCUGCUUUUUCUUCUACGAAUGGGAGUUUGAUCUCUAUAAUGGGGGAGGUUUAAAUCACGUAGCAUGUUUUGAAAAUAUAUAUCGCUCACAUGUUAUAUUAAUUAACUCUAAUUUAUCAGGAAGUGAGAGGGCAAAAGGGGUCAGAUAGCAAGGUAUGCUUCAUUUCAGUUGUAUUAGUAUUACCAUGUUGUUUCAUAAAUAUAAGCAUAUAUAGUGAUUUUUUGGAUUUGUUGAGGUUUUAUGGAAAAUACUAAAGACAACAGAGAUAUGUUUGAUUAUGUUUUCAUAUGUUGGUUUGCAUGUUGUAUAAAGCUCACUGAUAUACUCAUGUUUUCUUUUUUGUCCGUCCAUAAUUAACUGUCUCAUUAGCUUUUUACUACUCAUGGUAAUGGACUCCACAUUCCAUUUACUCGUCUCACUCACAUUCCAUUUACUCAUCUCAUUUUAUUAGUUAUA